GCCUCGGUAGCGCAGUAGGCAGCGCGUCUGUCAUAAUCACCCAGCGAGUAACGAAGUCGUGAGUUCGAUCCUCACCCGGGCA